AGUGAACGCUGGCGGUAGGCCUAACACAUGCAAGUCGAACGGCAGCACAGUAAGAGCUUGCUCUUACGGGUGGCGCGUGGCGGACGGGUGAGGAAUACAUCGGAAUCUACUUUUUCGUGGGGGAUAACGUAGGGAAACUUACGCUAAUACCGCAUACGACCUACGGGUGAAAGCAGGGGAUCUUCGGACCUUGCGCGAUUGAAUGAGCCGAUGUCGGAUUAGCUAGUUGGCGGGGUAAAGGCCCACCAAGGCGACGAUCCGUAGCUGGUCUGAGAGGAUGGUCAGCCACACUGGAACUGAGACACGGUCCAGACACCGACGGGAGGCAGCAGUGGGGAAUAUUGGACAAGGGGCGCAAGCCUGAUCCAGCCAUACCGCGUGAGUGAAGAAGGCCUUCGGGUUGGAGAGCCCUUUUGUUGGGAAAGAAAAGCAGCAGGUUAAUACCCCGCUGUUCUGACGGUACCCAAAGAAUAAGCACCGGCUAACUUCGUG
rnacentral:rRNA from 1 species